AUGUUUGCUCCGUUUAACAUCCGUUCUUGUUGUCCUAAAACUAGCCGUAGAUCUUCGUUUAAGACCUGGAAAUAUAGAAACGGUAACUUA
rnacentral:sRNA from 1 species